rnacentral:rRNA from 1 species
GACGAACGCUGGCGGCGUGCUCAACACAUGCAAGUCGAACGGACCUUCGGGUUAGUGGCGAACGGGUGAGUAACACGUGGGUGAUCUGCCCUGCACUUUGGGAUAAGCCUGGGAAACUGGGUCUAAUACCGAAUAGGACCACGCGCUUCAUGGUGUGUGGUGGAAAGCUUUUGCGGUGUGGGAUGGGCCCGCGGCCUAUCAGCUUGUUGGUGGGGUAAUGGCCUACCAAGGCGACGACGGGUAGCCGGCCUGAGAGGGUGACCGGCCACACUGGGACUGAGAUACGGCCCAGACUCCUACGGGAGGCAGCAGUGGGGAAUAUUGCACAAUGGGCGCAAGCCUGAUGCAGCGACGCCGCGUGAGGGAUGACGGCCUUCGGGUUGUAAACCUCUUUCGCCAGGGACGAAGCGCAAGUGACGGUACCUGGAGAAGAAGGACCGGCCAACUACGUGCCAGCAGCCGCCGUAACAC